rnacentral:rRNA from 1 species
GUGAAGCGGCAACAGCUCAAAUUUGAAAUCUGGCGCAAGCCCGAGUUGUAAUUUGUAGAGGAUGCUUCUGGGUAGCGGCCGGUCUAAGUUCCUUGGAACAGGACGUCAUAGAGGGUGAGAAUCCCGUAUGUGACUGGCUUGCACCCUCCACGUAGCUCCUUCGACGAGUCGAGUUGUUUGGGAAUGCAGCUCUAAAUGGGAGGUAAAUUUCUUCUAAAGCUAAAUACCGGCCAGAGACCGAUAGCGCACAAGUAGAGUGAUCGAAAGAUGAAAAGCACUUUGGAAAGAGAGUUAAAAAGCACGUGAAAUUGUUGAAAGGGAAGCGCCCGCAACCAGACUUUGCGGCAGUGUUCGGCCGGUCUUCUGACCGGUUUACUCGCUGUCGUGAGGCCAUCAUCGUCUGGGACCGCUGGAUAAGACCUUAGGAAUGUAGCUUCCCUCGGGAAGUGUUAUAGCCUCUGGUGAUGCAGCGCGUCUCGGGCGAGGUCCGCGCUUCGGCAAGGAUGAUGGCGUAAUGGUUGUCGGCGGCCCGUCUUGAAACACGGACCAAGGAGUCUAACAUCUAUGCGAGUGUUCGGGUGUCAAACCCCUACGCGUAAUGAAAGUGAACGGAGGUGGGAACUUUUUGUGCACCAUCGACCGAUCCUGAUGUCCUCGGAUGGAUUUGAGUAAGAGCAUAGCUGUUGGGACCCGAAAGAUGGUGAACUAUGCCUGAAUAGGGUGAAGCCAGAGGAAACUCUGGUGGAGGCUCGCAGCGGUUCUGACGUGCAAAUCGAUCGC